UUAUUUACCAAUAAAUUGCAAAGCAGCAUGACUAAGGUAUAACCCAAAAGAAUACAAGAAACACCUCAACGUUCUUAACAAAUAUGGAAACAAAAUUCAAAAUGGGUUCAACAAGUAACUUCAACAGAAUAAAAGCAAACAAGGAAUUUAACCAUUACCAAAGCGAUUAUAAGGUAAAAAUCGGACCUAUUGUAUAAAUGAACGGGGGUUGGAACAAUAAGCUUAGCAAUUUGGCGGUUCUGGGUUGGAUCUUUCGUCGAUAACUAUGAACAGAUCAGACGGCUGGACACCUCAAUGGCAACCUCGGACGGACUCGCCGGCGACCUCAAUUUCCAAAUGAUCAAAGCAAUUAUAACGCAAAAAUUGGACCUCUUGUAUACAUGAACGGGGUUUGGAACUACAAGCUUAGCAAUUUGGCGGUUCUGGGUUGGAUCUUUCGCCGAUAACUAUGAACAGAUCAGACGGCUGGACACCUUAGCGGCAACCUCGGACGGACUCGCCGGCGACCUCAAUUUCCAAAUGAUACCAAAACGAAACCAUGUGAUGAAUUCCAAAUUCAAUAAGAAAAUCUAUGAGAUUAGAAAGCAGAAUAAUCGGAAGGGGUGAGAUCUGGUGGAGGUUCCUUGAAGAGGGGUUUGCGGCUAAUUUGGGCUUUUGGUGUAUUGGGGAUAACAAGGUGUCAUUAGCUUGAAGUCUUGAAUAAAGGAUGAAAUCACGUUACAUUCAGUGAGCAAAACCUUGGAUUUUUUCGGAAAUUUCAUUGAAUAAAAAUGGAAAUCC
rnacentral:lncRNA from 1 species